rnacentral:rRNA from 1 species
AACGAACGCUGGCGGCAUGCCUAACACAUGCAAGUCGAACGAGACCUUCGGGUCUAGUGGCGCACGGGUGCGUAACGCGUGGGAACCUGCCCUUAGGUUCGGAAUAACUCCCCGAAAGGGGUGCUAAUACCGGAUAAUGUCUUCGGACCAAAGAUUUAUCGCCUUUGGAUGGGCCCGCGUUGGAUUAGCUAGUUGGUAGGGUAAAAGCCUACCAAGGCGACGAUCCAUAGCUGGUCUGAGAGGAUGAUCAGCCACACUGGGACUGAGACACGGCCCAGAACCCUAGGGGAGGGAGAAGGGGGGAAAUUGGGAAAAGGGGAGAAAGCCUGACCCAGAAAUGCCGGGUGAGGGAAGAAGGCUUUAGGUUUGAAAAGCUUUUUUCCCCGGGAUGAUAAUGAAAGUACCGGGAGAAAAAGCCCCGGCUAACCCCGU